UGGGAAUCUUGCGCAAUGGGCGAAAGCCUGACGCAGCCAUGCCGCGUGAAUGAUGAAGGUCUUAGGAUUGUAAAUUCUUCACCGGGACGAUAAUGACGGUACCCGGAGAAGAAGCCCCGGCUAACUUCGUGCCAGCAGCCGCGGUAAUACGAAGGGGGCUAGCGUUGCUCGGAAUUACUGGGCGUAAAGGGAGCGUAGGCGGACAUUUAAGUCAGGGUGAAAUCCCGGGGCUCAACCUCGGAAUUGCCUUGAUACUGGGUGUCUUGAGUGUGAGAGAGGUAUGUGGAACUCCGAGUGUAGAGGUGAAAUUCGUAGAUAUUCGGAAGAACACCAGUGGCGAAGGCGACAUACUGGCUCAUUACUGACGCUGAGGCUCGAAAGCGUGGGGAGCAAACAGGAUUAGAUACCCUGGUAGUCCACGCCGUAAACGAUGAUUGCUAGUUGUCGGGAUGCAUGCAUUUCGGUGACGCAGCUAACGCAUUAAGCAAUCCGCCUGGGGAGUACGGUCGCAAGAUUAAAACCUUGAAAUGAAUUGACGGGGGUCAUAGCUGUUUCCUG
rnacentral:rRNA from 1 species